UCCUACGGGAGGCAGCAGUGGGGAAUUUUCCGCAAUGGGCGAAAGCCUGACGGAGCAACGCCGCGUGAGGGAUGAAGGCCUCUGGGCUGUAAACCUCUUUUAUCAAGGAAGAAGAUCUGACGGUACUUGAUGAAUAAGCCACGGCUAAUUCCGUGCCAGCAGCCGCGGUAAUACGGGAGUGGCAAGCGUUAUCCGGAAUUAUUGGGCGUAAAGCGUCCGCAGGCGGCCCAACAAGUCUGCUGUUAAAAAGUGGAGCUCAACUCCAUCAUGGCAGUGGAAACUGUUGGGCUAGAGUGUGGUAGGGGCAGAGGGAAUUCCCGGUGUAGCGGUGAAAUGCGUAGAUAUCGGGAAGAACACCAGUGGCGAAGGCGCUCUGCUGGGCCAUCACUGACGCUCAUGGACGAAAGCCAGGGGAGCGAAAGGGAUUAGAUACCCCUGUAGUCCUGGCCGUAAACGAUGAACACUAGGUGUCGGGGGAAUCGACCCCUCCGGUGUCGUAGCCAACGCGUUAAGUGUUCCGCCUGGGGAGUACGCACGCAAGUGUGAAACUCAAAGGAAUUGACGG
rnacentral:rRNA from 1 species